rnacentral:snoRNA from 1 species
UUGAUCUGCCUCUGAUGAAGCCUGUUUUGGUAGGGGCAUCUGAGAGUGUUGAUGAAUGCCAACGGCUCUGGUGGAAAAAA